GAACUGGAAGCAGAUGGGUGCGGAGAGUGAGGGAAGUGUAGGUCUAGUGCAUGAGAGCCAGCUGCCGCGCAGGCCCCUCAGCUAUCGGCUCUGUUUGCUGUGACUGUUGAAGUGCAGCCCUAGCCGCCGCGUGCCGGAUUAGGUUAGUGCCGCCUGAUCCUCCCAGGCAGUUUCAUUUUUGCCUCGUCCUGUAACCAGAGCAGGGAAAGAAGGCGGCCCGGAGAUUGCAUAUUCACCUGAAUUUGCUGCUCUGGCCGGAUUCCAACUCGGAUAACAACGCCCGACGGUCUUCUCUCGAGUUUUGCCUCGUUUCCUGCCCCUAACUCUGGAGUCUCUGUUUUGAUGUGUUCCUACCCCGUCCAGGGGUGGCUGCAUUUUGGCAUUGAAAGGAGCGAUGGGAAGAUGCGGUAACUGAGGCCCAGAGAAGUUAAUAGACUUGC